UACAGAGGUCUCAAGUGUUGUUCGGAUUCAUUGGGCGUAAAGGGUGCGUAGGCGGCGCGGUAAGUCGGAUGUGAAAUCUCGGAGCUUAACUCCGAAACUGCAUUCGAUACUGCCGUGCUUGAGGACUGGAGAGGAGACUGGAAUUUACGGUGUAGCGGUGAAAUGCGUAGAUAUCGUAAGGAAGACCAGUGGCGAAGGCGGGUCUCUGGACAGUUCCUGACGCUGAGGCACGAAGGCCAGGGGAGCAAACGGG
rnacentral:rRNA from 1 species